GCUGGCUGGCUGAGGCUGUAAACAAACUGUGCCGCAGAACCUUCCGCCCCCAAGAUGGUUCCUGGUGUCUGUGUGGAUUGCUGCAGCUCAGAAACCUUUGCCAUGGCAGAAGCUCCACUGAAAGUAAAGAUCGAGUGAUGGAAGCCUCAAAGAAGGUGUUGGGUCAAAUCCUACCAGAGGUAUUUUCUUUCUGGAUGUAGCUCUACUGGACCAAACUGAUACAAAGACUAGAGAAUAAGAGCUUCCAAACAAGUAAGUGUCUAAGUGUUAUAGCACUAUGCUUAUUAUUUCUUGCCUUUUUUAUUUCCUGGCUGAC
rnacentral:lncRNA from 1 species